GCUGCUCGCCCGGAGUCGCCGCUGAAAGUCAGCCGCACGCCGCCGCCUUGGGUGUUCACGGCCAUCGCCUGGCCGUGGAAGAGCACGGCCGCCGCCGUUCGUCGUCGGAUUCGCUGUGAGGAGCCGAGCACCGUCUCACAAAGAUCGGAGACAACGGCAGGUUCACCGCCGCCGCUCCGUCGCCGGCGACGAGCCACCGCGGCUGCCGCCUCCCUCUGAUUUCGACUCACACACACAGUAGGUUCAAGCCACAAUUUCAGUCAUAGCAUAGAUGAUUUGAGCAAAAUUCAUACAUAGUCAGGAAAUAAUUAUCUCUAUAUGUCCAUGUAAAAAGUCAAGAUCUUUAAUUGUUCUUCAAUUAAUCACACUGCAUAUAAACACCUCACUUGCAAAUUCAGCCUUUCGAACAUCAAUGUUAAAACGAGUUUAUACACAAGUUGUAUGCACAUAAAGAGGAAUAUGAGCAGUUGUAUGCGUUGGUGGUUCUUUUGGAGUUAUGAACUUGAUACAAGAAAUGGAGUAUUUCGAUUUAGAAA